AUGAUGUUUCAGCUCAGAAAUUACUUGUCAGUCUCACCUUGUACUGGAGAGACAAUGGCAGCUACAGUGAAAAUCUUUUUUGUUUUACUUGUGGAGGGAAUUUGUGCCAAUCUAAUGUGCACUGUGUCAGUGUACCAGAAUCAGUCUGUUGCUUAUAUCAUCUCUGGACCUCCACCAGCACCUGGCUGCUUACCCGAAUGGACCGCUGCUAAUAUCAUGCUGGUUGAUGAGAAGGGGAAUAUUUACCAUCAAGUGGUCUUGCAUGCUGAACCACAAAGGAUUCUCACCAAAGGCUGUCAACAUGAUGUUGCAUACCAUCUAGAAUGUUUGGCACUUAGGGAGUUCUUGGUGGUCAACUGUAAUUAUAAGUGUCCAACUGUACCUGUUGCAAUGGUCGCAGAAGACUCAGCUGUGGCAAUGCUCCCAGGUGCAGGCAGAACUCAUGUUAUGACGUCUGCUGUCAUUGGUAUUGCUGUGCUACUUGGCUUUGUUAUAAUGACAGUCAUUUACUAGUACAGACAUCUAAGGGAAUCAGGUGCUGUUUAAAAACAAAUUGAUUUACUUUGUAGGACAGAGAAUCUACAGACACUUCAGCCAGUGCUGACAGUAUCUCACUACUGGUGUGUUGGACUCUUUUGAUCCUUCAGAAAUAAGUUUCCUCAUUUUCUGCCAUGGGUGCUAAAAUGAACAAGGGAGUGGUACAUAAUACACAAAUCUGGCCUGGAGGAAAGGAGGGAUGUGACAGUUUGGAGCCAUCUAUGUUCCCACAACAGACAAUCUGUAACUUGUAGCUACCCUAUUUGUAGCUAUCCUACAAAUACAUUUACAUAUUUUUGUGCUUAAUAAAAAUACUUUGCCAUUGUACUUGUGGUAUACU
ensembl:lncRNA